GACGAACCGUACGAACGUUAUUCGGAAUCACUGGGCUUAAAGGGUGCGUAAGCGGUCGGGUAAGUCUGAUGUGAAAUCUCACAGCUUAACUGUGAAACUGCAUUGGAUACUAUCCGGCUCGAGGAAUGGAGGGGAGACUGGAAUACUUGGUGUAGCAGUGAAAUGCGUAGAUAUCAAGUGGAACACCAGUGGCGAAGGCGAGUCUCUGGACAUUUCCUGACGCUGAGGCACGAAAGCCAGGGGAGCAAACGGG
rnacentral:rRNA from 1 species